rnacentral:rRNA from 1 species
GAUGAACGCUGGCGGCGUGCCUAAUACAUGCAAGUCGAGCGAACAGACGAGGAGCUUGCUCCUCUGACGUUAGCGGCGGACGGGUGAGUAACACGUGGAUAACCUACCUAUAAGACUGGGAUAACUUCGGGAAACCGGAGCUAAUACCGGAUAAUAUAUUGAACCGCAUGGUUCAAUAGUGAAAGACGGUUUUGCUGUCACUUAUAGAUGGAUCCGCGCCGCAUUAGCUAGUUGGUAAGGUAACGGCUUACCAAGGCGACGAUGCGUAGCCGACCUGAGAGGGUGAGGGGCCACACUGGAAGUGAGACACGGUCCAGACUCCUACGGGAGGCAGCAGUGGGGAAUAUUGGAAAAUGGGAGAAAGCCUGAUGAAGCAACGCCGGGUGAGUGAAGGAGGUCUUCGGAUUGUAAAGCUUUUUUAUUGGGAAAGAAAAAAUGGAUAAUAAUAUAUCGCUGUUUUGAGGGUACCAAAAAAAAAAGCACCGGCUAACUUCGUG